rnacentral:sRNA from 1 species
ACUGUGGAGUAUUAAUAAAACUGUAGUAGAGUAAUCGAGGCAGAAUACGUUGAAGCAGUAA